rnacentral:rRNA from 1 species
CCUACGGGUGGCAGCAGUGAGGAAUAUUGGUCAAUGGGCGCGAGCCUGAACCAGCCAAGCAGCGUGAAGGAUGACUGCCCUACGUGUUGUAAACUGCUUUUAUAAAGGAAUAAAGUCAGACACGUGUGCCUGUUUGAAUGUACUGUAUGAAUAAGGAUCGGCUAACUCCGUGCCAGCCGCCGCGGUAAUACGGAGGAUCCGAGCGUUAUCCGGAUUUAUUGGGUUUAAAGGGAGCGUAGAUGGGUUGAUAAGUUAGUUGUGAAAGUUUGCGGCUCAACCGUAAAAUUGCAAUUGAUACUGGCAGACUAGAGAAUAGUUGCGGUAGGCGGAAUUCGUGGUGUAGCGGUGAAAUGCUUAGAUAUCACGCAGAACUCCGAUUGCGAAGGCAGCUUACUAAACUGUCACUGACAUUGAUGCUCGAAAGUGUGGGUAGCAAACAGGAUUAGAUACCCUUGUAGUC